rnacentral:rRNA from 1 species
AUUGAACGCUGGCGGCAGGCCUAACACAUGCAAGUCGAGCGGAGCGGCGGACGGGUGAGUAAUACCUAGGAAUCUGCCUUGUAGUGGGGGAUAACGUUCGGAAACGGACGCUAAUACCGCAUACUAUCAGAUGAGCCUAGGUCGGAUUCGCGAGUUGGUGAGGUAAUGGCUCACCAAGGCUACGAUCCGUAACUGGUCUGAGAGGCUGAUCAGUACAACUGGAACGAGAACACGGUCCAGACUCCUACGGGAGGAAGCAGUGGGAAAUAUUGGAAAAUGGGCGAAAGCCUGAUCCAGACAUGCCGGGUGUGUGAGGAAGGUCUUGGGAUUGUAAAGCACUUUAAGUUGGGAGGCGUUACCGACAGAAUAAGCACCGGCUAACUCCGUGCCAGCAGCCGCGGUAAUUC